rnacentral:lncRNA from 1 species
AUGGGUUCCUGACUGCUCGGUGGUGUGGUACGCCCAGACUAUACGGGGUACCUCCUCAGCCCAGCUUCCUUUGGCUUUCUCUAGUCUUCUCUUCAAACCUCUCAGCAACACCCGAUUAGCUGACUCCACCUGGCCAUUCGUCUGAGGGUGCUCGACGGAUGCAAACACUUGUUGAAUUCCCACCCCUUCGCACAGCUUCUUCAACAAGUGGCUUGCAAACUGAGUCCCA